GGAAUAACCUGUCGAAAGACGGGCUAAUGCCGAGUAAGCUCUCGGGAGCGUGAAGCUCUUGCGAGGAAAGAUGGCGCAAGCUAUCGCCGAUGGAUGAGUCUGCGUCCCAUUAGUUAGUUGGUGAGGUAACAGCUUACCAAGACGAUGAUGGGUACCUGGUCUGAGAGGAUGAUCAGGCACACUGGAACUGAAACACGGUCCAGACUCCUACGGGAGGCAGCAGUAGGGAAUAUUGCGCAAUGGACGAAAGUCUGACGCAGCCACGCCGCGUGAGUGAGGAAGGCCUUCGGGUUGUAAAGCUCUGUCAUCCGGGAAAAACGGCUAUCUGGGAAAGUUCAGGUAGCGUGAUGGUACCGGAGGAGGAAGCACCGGCAAACUCUGUGCCAGCAGCCGCGGUAAUACAGAGGGUGCAAGCGUUGUUCGGAAUUACUGGGCGUAAAGCGUGCGUAGUCGGUAUUGAGAGUCACGGGUGAAAUCCCAGGGCUUAACCCUGGAACUGCCUGUGAGACCUCAGUACUAGAGUGUGAGAGGGGAUAGUGGAAUACCCAGUGUAGCGGUGAAAUGCGUAGAGAUUGGGUGGAACACCGGUGGCGAAGGCGGCUAUCUGGCUCACAACUGACGAUCAGGCACGAAAGCGUGGGGAGCAAACAGGAUUAGAUACCCCGGUAGUCC
rnacentral:rRNA from 1 species